ACCUUAUUAUUUGGGCAUUGCAUCAAUUUAUCACUAAAUCAUUGCUACACUUCAUAAAAUGGCUCACCAUUGAGUUGGUAGAAAUUGGUUAUUUCAUCUCUAAGUUU
rfam:Capsicum annuum cultivar Zunla-1 chromosome 6, whole genome shotgun sequence